rnacentral:lncRNA from 1 species
UUUUGCUACAAUUUAAGAAAUCUCCGUUCUGUACAGGACAGCUGGAACCACUGGAGAAAGGUCCUCAUACUGGAAGCUAGAAGCACAGAAAGUAGUGUGAAAAGAAGUUUGAUAUUCCUUGAAAGCUGUGGAAACAAGUGUGGAUGUAACAGAGUUGUUAUAUCCUGCACAGUAGCACAGUUUAAAGAACAAAGAGAGAGUAGUCAUGGAUAAGGGUUUAGGAUAUGGGAAUGUAAAUCUGCACCACAGAGAAAAGAAAUUCAGCUCACAGAAUGACCGUGUCGUAGCACCUAUCUUUGCCUUUGGAGAGACUGGCUGCAUAGAGAACUGAAGUCCAUCAUUGCCUGUGAAUCACCCCACCUUUCUCUUCAGCCAGUCUAGUCUAUUAAUGGGCUACUGACAACACAAGUGAGAGAAUCACAAUGCUCUACAAUAAAACGAGCAAUCAGCAUUUGGAUUCUAAAAUGCCUAAAUUUUAUGUUUAUUAAGCUACAAUGCCCAGGAACAAAGACAGUUCACUAGAGGAUUCAUUCAUUCAUUCAUUAAUUCAUUCAUUCAGUAAAUACAUAUUGAACACCCA